rnacentral:misc_RNA from 1 species
GAUGAUGUCAUGGAUGAAAGGUACAUGAACAUCAUCAAUACACAUGAGUUUGACUAUCUGGUUACCGGUCCAAGCUCGUACCGCUGUCUGACCCCUAGCAAGGCCAAAUCGAGGGUCUCUAAAGCUGAGAAUGUCGUUAGAAAAUAGAACAUUUUCAGGCCAUGCUCGCAGAGUCUGGAACUUGUUCGCAUGAAACAAUGUAACAGCUUUUAUUCAAUGAAUACGAAAGAAUACAACCGCUAUAUAUUUUAAAAUAGCAAAAGGUGUAUACCGGGUAUUUAAAAUGUAAACGUUAGGCCUUGUGUAUUUCAAUGAGAUUCGUAUUGUAUCAAUAUGUAAUCAUAUACUAUGUAUACUUAUUAUGUACGUGUACCAAUCAGUAUUUUCCUUUUUCUUUACCCGUAGUUUUACAGAGUGUGAUCGGAUUUCCACUCGGUGGGUUUCCGAAUCCAGAUCAACACUAUCUUAAACUGAUGACGUAGUACACAAAAAAUAACGUCUAUAUUUAAGAGCCUUUUAAAAGAGUUCGUUUAAAUUACCGUGGAUGAAAAAAUAAACGGUACACAGGGAAUCUUUAAAAAAUAGUUUCGCAUAAGUAAUCUGAUGAUCCGCGCAUGACAAAUCUAUCUGAUCCGACGCUUUGGAUCAAGUUCUUGUUAUAACAAUCUAUAAUUUUAUAAGAAAGUAUGUUUGUUAAGAAGUUGCAAUAAGUGUAUACAUUAGCUUCAUAUGCGUACAAACUUUUUCCCUUAACCUUAAUAAUUAUAUGAUAAAUAAAUAUGUAUGAAACUCUACCAUAUGAAAUAAGCUUUAUAUCAUAUACAUGUAGCUCUAGUAUAUUGGAGUAUUUACAUGUACUAGUGAAUUGUAUCUUGAGAAACAGAUUAAAAUUAUUUGGAC